UGGCUCAGGUAUGCCGUUCUCAAGCAGGAGUGGGUGGGAGAUAAGAUGGAUGGCAGGCCUUUCUCUUACGGCAGCUGCUGGUCGCGCUGGACCGAGCUUUGGAGCGGCACGGCGGAACACACAGAAUUUCAUGAAUAACAAUGCAGCGUCGCAGCCGUCUGGAAAAGAGGAGAAGUGGGACAGAGGAGAGUGGAGUACGGAGGGGUGGAGACAUGGAGCGUCUCUGCCUCGUGCUUCCUUCGUCCAGUUCCAUUUCAAUCACCAACCCUGGUGAAGGAGGGAUCAGGAGAGCAGCAAGGGGAGGAGUCAGAGAGAAGGCGGGACCCACAGUGCAGCAGGGGGAGGAGCCAGAGAGGAGGCGGGGAAAUGCAGACUAAUGGGAGGGCUAUAGGAGGAGAGGCAGG